rnacentral:rRNA from 1 species
GACGAACCGUGCGAACGUUGUUCGGAAUCACUGGGCUUAAAGGGCGCGUAGGCGGGCGACCAAGUCCGGGGUGAAAGCUUUCGGCUCAACCGGAAAAGGGCCUCGGAUACUGGUCGCCUUGAGGGAGGUAGGGGCAAGCGGAACUUCCGGUGGAGCGGUGAAAUGCGUUGAUAUCGGAAGGAACGCCGGUGGCGAAAGCGGCUUGCUGGACCUCUGCUGACGCUGAGGCGCGAAAGCCAGGGGAGCGAACGGGAUUAGAUACCCCGGUAGUCCUGGCCCUAAACGAUGGGUACUAGGUAGUGGACUGACAUGGGUUCCCUGCCGAAGCCAAAGUGGUAAGUACCCCGCCUGGGGAGUAUGGUCGCAAGGCUGAA